GCAAGUAGCAGCUCAGUGGUAGUGAGUGCUUGCCUAGCAUGCAUGAGGCCCUGGGUUCGAUCCCAGUACUGCA
rnacentral:tRNA from 1 species